AUUGAACGCUGGCGGAAUGCUUUACACAUGCAAGUCGAGCGGCAGCGCGGGGCAACCUGGCGGCGAGCGGCGAACGGGUGAGUAAUACAUCGGAACGUGCCCAGACGUGGGGGGAUAACUACUCGAAAGAGUGGCUAAUACCGCAUACGAUCUAAGGAUGAAAGCGGGGGGAUCGCAAGACCUCGCGCGUUUGGAGCGGCCGAUGGCAGAUUAGGUAGUUGGUGGGGUAAAGGCUUACCAAGCCCGCGAUCUGUAGCUGGUCUGAGAGGAUGAUCAGCCACACUGGGACUGAGACACGGCCCAGACUCCUACGGGAGGCAGCAGUGGGGAAUUUUGGACAAUGGGCGAAAGCCUGAUCCAGCCAUUCCGCGUGCAGGAUGAAGGCCCUCGGGUUGUAAACUGCUUUGUACAGAACGAAAAAGACUCUUUCUAAUACAGAGAGUCCAUGACGGUACUGUAAGAAUAAGCACCGGCUAACUACGUGCCAGCAGCCGCGGUAA
rnacentral:rRNA from 1 species